UUUUUUGGUCCUCCACAGAUGGAACAAUAGAUGCACUAUCAGCAUCGGACCCCUUGGCUUCUUUGCUAUCAUUUACUGGUUUUGUGAAGGAGGACUUCCAAUCCCUUCCCCUCCACAUAAGUAUGUGCUCAUGUUCAAAUGAGAUUAGCACACAUGGUACAAGUUCCUUGAGUUUGGCACCAACUUUCCGGUAGUCACUUCCAUUAAUUCCUUGACAAUUUAUUCUGACCAAUUCACAUUCUUCAAAUGCCUCCUGGAC
rnacentral:misc_RNA from 1 species